ACUAAAACUAGACGAAGACGAACACAUUUUGAAAUGACUAAAAUAUGACUAAGACUAAUAAGUAUUUUUCGUCCAAAAGACUAAGACAAAAAUUAAAAUGGCUGCCAAAAACAACACUGUUUGGCUCUCCAGAAUGGAAAGUCAUCCUGAUUAUUGAAUUUGCCAUGGCUAACAUUGCAAUAGUGCAGCCAAUCAGAGGUGUCAUGGGCCUGCAGGAUGUGAAAAAAGGCGGAGUGACAAAGAGGACCUUGAAGAUGUGUUUCACUUCUGUUUGCUUCAUUUGGAAAUGUUUCACCAAUAGGUUUCAUUACCACCAAGGCAAAAGAGCGAACAUGAAUACACGUAAAAGCAGCCUCGUUCAGCGUGACAUCACUCUCACUUGAACUUGAGGGCAGAGGCGAGGUUUUCGACUUUAGGGAACAAGUCCAGGAAGCUGUGUCAAGAGAUAAGACACCAAACGUGACUUGGUGUUUGGUGGCACACAUGGAAGGUCUGUGUGGUCUGAGGAGCCUGCUGCUUUGGGCCACAAUCAUCUCUUCAGCCUACUUUGAAACAAGCCCCUCAAACGAGGUCUCAACCGCAAAUAUUUCAUGGAGUACACCAACAGUUUCUCCAAAAAACAAUGAGGUCUCAACCGCAAACAUUUCAUGGAGUACACCAACAGUUUCUCCAAAAAACAAUCUUCCGAUCACUACCCAAGUGGAUACUACAAGUGUCAACAAAUG